AAUUCGGGACCCCCAGCGAUUUCUGCUCGUUUUACAACAUCCUGAAGAACUGCCGGGGUCACAACACGGAGCGCUCGGUGUUCAGCGAGCGCACCGAGGAAUCGUCGGCCGUGCAGUAUUUCCAGUUCUACGGGUACCUGUCCCAGCAGCAGAACAUGAUGCAGGAUUACGUGCGCACGGGGACGUACCAGCGAGCGAUCCUGCAGAACCACAGCGACUUCAAG